rnacentral:rRNA from 1 species
GAUGAACGCUGGCGGCGUGCCUAAUACAUGCAAGUCGAGCGAACAGACGAGGAGCUUGCUCCUCUGACGUUAGCGGCGGACGGGUGAGUAACACGUGGAUAACCUACCUAUAAGACUGGGAUAACUUCGGGAAACCGGAGCUAAUACCGGAUAAUAUAUUGAACCGCAUGGUUCAAUAGUGAAAGACGGUUUUGCUGUCACUUAUAGAUGGAUCCGCGCCGCAUUAGCUAGUUGGUAAGGUAACGGCUUACCAAGGCGACGAUGCGUAGCCGACCUGAGAGGGUGAUCGGCCACACUGGAACUGAGACACGGUCCAGACGCCUACGGGAGGCAGCAGUAGGGAAUCUUCCGCAAUGGGCGAAAGCCUGACGGAGCAACGCCGCGUGAGUGAUGAAGGUCUUCGGAUCGUAAAACUCUGUUAUUAGGGAAGAACAAAUGUGUAAGGAACUAUGCACGUCUUGACGGUACCUAAUCAGAAAGCCACGGCUAACUACGUG